rnacentral:rRNA from 1 species
AACGAACGCUGGCGGCAGGCUUAACACAUGCCAGUCGAGCGAGACCUUCGGGUCUAGCGGCGGACGGGUGAGUAACGCGUGGGAACGUGCCCUUCUCUACGGAAUAGCCCCGGGAAACUGGGAGUAAUACCGUAUACGCCCUUUGGGGGAAAGAUUUAUCGGAGAAGGAUCGGCCCGCGUUGGAUUAGGUAGUUGGUGGGGUAAUGGCCCACCAAGCCGACGAUCCAUAGCUGGUUUGAGAGGAUGAUCAGCCACACUGGGACUGAGACACGGCCCAGACUCCUACGGGAGGCAGCAGUGGGGAAUCUUAGACAAUGGGGGCAACCCUGAGCUAGCCAUGCCGCGUGAGUGAUGAAGGCCUUAGGGUUGUAAAGCUCUUUCAGCUGGGAAGAUAAUGACGGUACCAGCAGAAGAAGCCCCGGCUAACUCCGUG